rnacentral:rRNA from 1 species
CCUACGGGAGGCAGCAGUGGGGAAUAUUGGACAAUGGGCGAAAGCCUGAUCCAGCCAUGCCGCGUGUGUGAAGAAGGCCUUCGGGUUGUAAAGCACUUUCAGUGGGGAAGAAAGCCUUGGGGCUAAUACCCUCGAGGAAGGACAUCACCCACAGAAGAAGCACCGGCUAACUCCGUGCCAGCAGCCGCGUAAUACGGAGGGUGCGAGCGUUAAUCGGAAUUACUGGGCGUAAAGCGCGCGUAGGCGGUCUGAUAAGCCGGUUGUGAAAGCCCCGGGCUCAACCUGGGAACGGCAUCCGGAACUGUCAGGCUAGAGUGCAGGAGAGGAAGGUAGAAUUCCCGGUGUAGCGGUGAAAUGCGUAGAGAUCGGGAGGAAUACCAGUGGCGAAGGCGGCCUUCUGGACUGACACUGACGCUGAGGUGCGAAAGCGUGGGUAGCAAACAGGAUUAGAUACCCUAGUAGUC